rnacentral:rRNA from 1 species
UACGGAAGGCAGCAGUGGGGAAUAUUGCACAAUGGGCGAAAGCCUGAUGCAGCUAUGCCGCGUGUAUGAAGAAGGCCUUAGGGUUGUAAAGUACUUUCAUCGGGGAGGAAAAACAAAACUAAUAAUUUUAUUUCUUGACGUUACCCGAAAAAGAAGCACCGGCUAACUCCGUGCCAGCAGCCGCGGUAAUACGGAGGGUGCUAGCGUUAAUCAGAAUUACUGGGCGUAAAGAGCACGUAGGUGGUUUUUUAAGUCAGAUGUGAAAUUCCUGGGCUUAACCUAGGAACUGCAUUUUGAAACUGAAAUACUAGAGUAUCGUAGAGGGAGGUAGAAUUCUAGGUGUAGCGGUGAAAUGCGUAGAUAUCUGGAGGAAUACCUGUGGCGAAAGCGGCCUCCUAAACGAAUACUGACACUGAGGGUGCGAAAGCG